rnacentral:rRNA from 1 species
CCUACGGGUGGCAGCAGUGAGGAAUAUUGGUCAAUGGGCGCAAGCCUGAACCAGCCAUGCCGCGUGCAGGAUGACGGUCCUAUGGAUUGUAAACUGCUUUUGUACAGGAAGAAACACUCCCUCGUGAGGGAGCUUGACGGUACUGUAAGAAUAAGGAUCGGCUAACUCCGUGCCAGCAGCCGCGGUAAUACGGAGGAUCCAAGCGUUAUCCGGAAUCAUUGGGUUUAAAGGGUCCGUAGGCGGUUUUAUAAGUCAGUGGUGAAAUCUGGUCGCUCAACGAUCAAACGGCCAUUGAUACUGUAGAACUUGAAUUACUUGGAAGUAACUAGAAUAUGUAGUGUAGCGGUGAAAUGCUUAGAGAUUACAUGGAAUACCAAUUGCGAAGGCAGGUUACUACGAGUUGAUUGACGCUGAUGGACGAAAGCGUGGGGAGCGAACAG